AGAGUUUGAUCAUGGCUCAGGACGAACGCUGACGGCGUGCUUAACACAUGCAAGUCUACCUGAAGUCAAAGCUUGCUUUGGCGGAAAGUGGCGAACGGGUGAGUAACGCGUAGAUAAUCUUCCCCUUAAUUUGGGAUAGCUUUGGGAAACCGAAAGUAAUACCGAAUAAAAUCUUGAGAUCGCAUGAUUUUAAGAUUAAAGGCAUUUGGCUGUUAAGGGAUGAGUCUGCGUACCAUUAGCUAGUUGGUAAGGUAAAAGCUUACCAAGGCUAUGAUGGUUAGCUGGUCUGAGAGGAUGAUCAGCCACACUGGGACUGAGAUACGGCCCAGACUCCUACGGGAGGCAGCAGUGAGGAAUAUUGCACAAUGGGGGGAACCCUGAUGCAGCAACGCCGUGUGAGUGAAGAAUCAGUUUAUCUGUGUAAAGCUCUGUUGAGAGGGACGAAAAAGAAGCUUAGGAGGCUUCAUUGACGGUACCUUUUAAGAAAGCUCCGGCUAACUCCGUGCCAGCAGCCGCGGUAAUACGGAGGGGGCAAGCGUUGUCCGGAAUCAUUGGGCGUAAAGGGCAUGUAGGUGGGUUUUUAAGUCAGUUGUAAAAUAUUAAGGCUCAACCUUAAUUCGCAAUUGAUACUGGGAAUCUUGAGUUCGAGAGGGGAUGGUAGAAUAUCUAGUGUAGCGGUGGAAUGCGUAGAUAUUAGAUAGAAUACCUGAGGCGAAGGCGACUGUCUGGCUCGACACUGACACUGAAAUGCGAAAGUAUGGGUAGCAAACAGGAUUAGAUACCCUGGUAGUCCAUACCGUAAACGAUGGAUACUAGGUGUCCGGGGACUAGUCCCCUGGGUGCCGUAGCUAACGCACUAAGUAUCCCGCCUGGGGAGUACGAUCGCAAGGUUGAAACUCAAAGGAAUUGACGGGGGCCCGCACAAGCGGUGGAGCAUGUGGUUUAAUUCGA
rnacentral:rRNA from 1 species